AAUGGACCUGUGAUGUUAUUGAUAUAUCUGCGUUAUCUAUCUGCAACUUCCUAAAAGGAAUUGAAGAAGACGAUAACAUACUGAGAUCUAAU
rfam:Cephalotus follicularis DNA, scaffold: scaffold160, isolate: St1.